GCCCCGGUGGUAUAAUGGUAGCAGGCGCCCUAGUAUUUAUAAAACACGGGUUCGAUUCCCGUCUGAGGUC